GUGAGCACAGGCCCCAGCUGGGGACGCUCCGCAAGGUGGGGCUGGGGGAGCAGCCGGCUGCCAUUGUCUACUGGCCUCAGCCCCGCCCCUCACUUUGGGGCGCUGCCCACCCACCUGCCCGCAGCGGACACUGUUCUUGUUUCUUCGAAUGCAUGAUGGAACAACCCUGUGAGGUAGGUUGUUUGAAGAUGGGGGACCGAGUCCCACGGUGAAGAAAAGGCAGAGGUGGGAUGGGAUCCAGAUCCCUGGUUCCGAGAGCACCCCAAGUUUCAUGCACAACUUCGGGCUUCCAGGGGUUUCCCUGGGGGUGUCUGAGCCUUCACCUGACUCCCCAAAGCCCCUGUGGCCACACAAAGGCGCAGAGCCAGGACGGGGGUCUCACACGCAGGUCUUGGCCCCCUCUUGCCCAGAGGAGCCCGGGACGUGAGGGGUGCUUUCCCUUUGCCCCCCAGGGAAGGUGGAAACUCCUCCCUUGGAGAGCCCCGGGGAUCUCCUCCCCCGGAGGUGAACCACUGCCCCUCAGCCGUUUUUCCAGGAAAAUCGGCCCCCAGGCUCCGCUGAGCUCUGGGAUCUUCCCGCAAAUGCUUUGGUUGCCCAGCGCCGAGGGCCGACCGGGGGCCACACGGCCGCGCGCUCGCCACUGUCCUCUCAGCGCUCAAGCAGGAUGCAAGCGAUGGCCGGGCAAGGCGGGGUGUUUGCCUUCUCUCUCCCUGCUGGCGGGCCACAGAUCCCGAGGGCACAGCUCAGACCCAGCCUCGGGAACGAUGCCAACCAGACAGGCUGGUCUUUGAUAGUCAUCAGUCUGCUCACCUCCAUCACCCUGCGAGGCAGGAGCUGCUCGACAGGCUGCCGCGCAUGAGCGUAACAGUGGCUCCCCAUCAAACCUGAAAGCGUGGAGUAUUGUGCUGUGUGGCUUACACAGUCCACCAUAUGAUUUUACUCGAUGCCGCAAAGUACUAAGAACCUGGAUUUUCCAGCUUCAUUGCAGAGAGCUGCCCGGAAUGUGAAGAUAACAGGUGGAACUCUAGCAGCCAUCUUGGGCCGCUGGGCAAACUUGGAAAGGAGACCACACAACAGGAAGGUGGGGCAGAGAGAUGGAAGGAUCCUCAGGCCUGGACGCCCUGCAGCCCCCACAGCCUCGGGCUGCCUGCCUCACUCAGGGCUUCUUUGACAAGAAAACACUCAGCUCUUUAAGUUUCUGAAUGUGGGUCUCUGUUAUAUAUGAUCAAACCUAAUCCUUAUUGAAACAAACUUGUUCCUUUUCAGAAUUUUCCUGGCUGUUUUUGUUUGCUUACGUGUUCCACAUGAACCUUAGAAUUAUUUUGUUUAAUUAAAUAGUAAGUUCUGUUACUUUUUAAAGUGCAAUGUCAUUAUGUUUAUGGCUUUAUUAAGGAGAACUGAUGUCUUUAUGAUGUUAAGUCUUUAUAUAAAAUAAGUAAGGCCUUUCGGUUUGUUCGCAUCUACUGCUAUGUACCACAGUUGCACCUGAAAGUUAUCUUACCAUGACUCUGGCACAUUUCUUAUUGAUUUCUGAAUAUUUGAUAAUUUUUUAUAACAAUCCUACAGAGGGUUUUUUCUUUCAUAUAUCACCUGGUAGGUUCAUGUUUGUAUGUAUGGAGGGUUUUGCAGGGUGUCCAUGGACUGGUGGCUUCUAGCCUCCUAUGGAAUUUUUUCAUUGAAACCUUUCAGUUUUUCAGGUAUUUAAUAUAAUCAUCUGCAAAUAAUGAUAAUUUCAUCUCUUCUUUUCCAGCAAUUAUAACUGUAUUUCUUUCUCUUGUUUAAUUGCACUGG